AUUGAACGCUGGCGGCAGGCCUAACACAUGCAAGUCGAGCGAGCGGCGGACGGGUGAGUAAUGCCUGGGAAUUGCCCAGUCGAGGGGGAUAACAGUUGGAAACGACUGCUAAUACCGCAUACGAUUGGAUUGCCCAGGUGGGAUUAGCUAGUUGGUGAGGUAAUGGCUAACCAAGGCGACGAUCCCUAGCUGGUCUGAGAGGAUGAUCAGCCACAGUGGAACAAAGACACGAUACAGACUCCUACGGGAGGAAGCGGUAGGGAAGAAUGCACAAUGGGGGAAAGCCUGAUGCAGCCAUGCCGCGUGUGUGAAGAAGGCCUACGGGUUGUAAAGCACUUUCAGCGAGGAGGCGUUACUCGCAGAAGAAGCACCGGCUAACGACGUGCCAGCAGCCGCGGUAAUUC
rnacentral:rRNA from 1 species